UGGGGGGAAUGUCUUCUAUAUACAAAGGUAAAGAGAAUAAUAUUUUGAAUUAUUACAUAUCCAUAACCCAGCUUCAACGAAACUCAAGGCUGAUCUUGUCUGAGCUAUAUUACCAUACGCUCCCCCUCUGAGAUCAUUUUAAUCAAUUCCAUAACAUCAUAUAAUUUCACUUGCACAUAUUUCAGUAGGUAUCUCAAAAAGGUAAGGGUGAAUUUACCCCAGUUUAAUUAAAAGAAUUUUAGACACAUAAACAUUUAAAAAAAAAAUUAAGCACAUGCAUACUGUAUGUGAGCUCCAAAACAGAUUCAAGAAGUCAAAGCUGGAGACUUUUUUCCGGGUGUAAAAAUGAUUAGCAUGUAGGGAUUAUGCUGGAGACUGUUAUGUGUUCACCAAAACCUGUUUUCUCUUCUUCCUGGGCACACUGGUAAACUACAUUUGCCAAUAUCCUGUGCAUUGACGUGCAGCCAUGUGACCGAGUUCUGGCCAAAGGAGUGUGGGCGGGAGUGACGUGCGCCAUUUCCAUAUCUAGCCCAUGAAAGUGUCCUGUGCAUGAUUUCUCUCUUUUCACCUUGUCUGCUGGCUGGAUGUUUCUGCCAGGGUGGCCUUAGAUCAGUGAUCAGCCUGGAUCCCAGGAGCAGAGCCCCUACCCCAGCCUUACCUCUGCCCAGAACACCUUGGCUGGGCUAUUGUGUGACUGAGAGACAAACUUUUAAAACCAUGUGUUAAGACACCAAAAUUUUGAGGUUUGUUACAGGAGCUUACAUUACUCUCACAAAUAUAGGGGGUAAUGUUCUGAGAGGGAAGGGUGGCAAGUCUUUAGAGUGUCUGAUAGCAAAGCUUUUUGUCUUUGAGGGCUUUGAGGUCACUGUCACAGCUACUCAAUCCCAUGGUUGCUGUUGAAAUGGGAAAGCAGUCAAAGAAAAUACGAGAACAAAUGGGUGUGGCUGUGUUUUAAUAAAACUGUACACAAACGGGCUACUGGGCCAUGUGACUCAGUUUGCCGAUCUCUGUUCUAACAGACUGACGCAAGACACCACCUCGUCUUAGGUGCCAUAUACGAAGGAAUUACUGCAGAGUGGGGUUGGAUGGACUCCACCUACUAGCCAUGGAACAUCUUGGACAAGUUAUUUUACCCCCCUCGGUCUGCUUCCUCACCUCUAACUUGGAGCCAAGAAUGCCUACUCUGGGGCUGUUGUGAAGUUCAGAUAUUACUCCCACAGUAGGACAAGGUUGUUCUGAAUGGCUGUUUUCAAGUUUUAAUGAAGUGAAGACUGAAUAGAAUCAUCUUCUCUUCCAUAAGUCUUUUGAAUGGAACCUUUCCCUACAGUGGGAUGUGAGGUUGGUGCACGCAUAAAAGGCUACCUGUGCUAUUCCUGAGAAUUGCUGUCCAAACGAUAUGGAAAACAAGAAGAGUGUUUAUUCUUUUUUUCUGAACGGAAAGUUGUGUUUUCGCUUGACUUCAGUAGAAGAAACUUAACUAAAAUACGCUGUAGAAAGCAACCUGCUACAAUGGAAAAAUCUCUGUUACGGUAAACUGAGGACCUGGGUUUGGUUGCAGUUCUGCCACCGGUUAGUUAGCUGUGUUCCUCGGAGCAGUCAUUCAGCCUCCCUGGGCUUUUUCACCAGCCCUGUGUCAAUACCUGGAUGCCCAUCACGUUGCGUGUUAAUGCCUGGGCAGACAUCAAACCCUCAGUUUACCAUUUGAAUGACCUCAAGAAGAAACUGUUCCAUUAGCCGAGCCACUAGACAUCUAAAAAUUACCAUCUUGGAACCAUCCAAGGGAGAAAGAUGCAAGACUGAAUAUUCUCAAGAGUAGACUUUUUACCGAGUCUCAUGAUCUAUUGCGACAAAUUAUACAAGCUGGACACAGAACUGCAUCCUCAAAGUCUCCAGCAUCAUCAAGACACCUAUUACCAGGCCCCUUCCUAAUUGCAAGCGAGCCUGACGGGGAGGUUAUGUUCCAGCUCUUCGCUGUUCGGAGGACUCUCAAUGACUCUCACCGGGGGGAAUGGAUAGGCUGAGUGGGUUUUAAGUGGAAAAGGCCUCCGGAUGAAGAUGGAAAUACCUGCUGCAUUGACUGAGGACAGUAAGGUAAUUUACAGGCCAUGAAGGUGAACCCUUCCUUAUUCAAGUACGGCGAGGGAAACAGGGAGGCCCCACAAGACUUGGGAAUCAUGAACUACGUGUAAGAAGUCUUGCCACCUGAGCGCCCUGGUUGUGGUACCUGGUAGAGAGACCACGCAGAGACAGAGUUGUCCAAGGAGUCCCAGCUGCCCCAGCCUGCGCCUGUUUGAGAUGCCCCCAGAGUCAGCCGCCAGCGGACUGAAGAUACUCUAUCUGAUUCACUCUUAUUUCUCCAAGGACUAGUUCUGUUUCUAGUACAUAAUAGGUGCCAGAAUGUAGUUGUAGACUAAAUGAAUAAAAGUGAGUUUUUAAAUAAAAGGCAUAUGCAUUAUA